UGAUUCCUUAUUAAAUUUUAGCAGAAAAAAAAUUGAAAAUAUGUCGGAAAGUCCUGAGCGAGAACAAGUCCUAUUGCAACUGUGGUGAUGUGACUGCUUCUAUGGAGCGCCUUGAGGCAUCGGUCACAGCUUCUAUGGAGCGCCUUGAGGCAUCGGUCACAGCUUCUAUGGAGCGCCUUGAGGCAUAAUUUACAGCUACUGUGGAGCGCUUUGAGGCAUCCAUGGGUGGCCUUUCUGCUGAUGUGUGCUCUUUACGGGCUGACCAUAAUAUAACUCAAAGGCAAAUGCAAGUGUUGGUCGAAGCCGUCGCAGAGCAAGCCGGCAACCUAAAAGGUCUGGUGAGGCAGCAUGGAAAACUAUGUUACAAUCUUUCCCGGUACUAUCUGUCCUGGGACUGGUACAGAUGGACAAAGAUAUAAACAGCAAACAAACAAAAUUUUGUUUAUUCUAAUUGUAUUUUUACAGAUUGAAGCAAUAAAAACUAUUAUCCUGCCGAACGGUAUUUUAAAGAAUUGUAAAAAUAUUCUUUCUAAUGCCGUUGUGUUAGCCUAUAACGUGGAUGGAGUCCAAGGCAAGUCGGCGCUGAAAAAUCAUAAGAAUUUUUAUGGAGUGU